CCUACGGGCGGCAGCAGUGGGGAAUAUUGGACAAUGGGGGCAACCCUGAUCCAGCCAUGCCGCGUGUGUGAAGAAGGCCCUCGGGUUGUAAAGCACUUUCAGUGAGGAAGAACGCCUGGUGGUUAAUACCCAUCAGGAAAGACAUCACUCACAGAAGAAGCACCGGCUAACUCCGUGCCAGCAGCCGCGGUAAUACGGAGGGUGCGAGCGUUAAUCGGAAUUACUGGGCGUAAAGCGCGCGUAGGUGGCUUGAUAAGCCGGUUGUGAAAGCCCCGGGCUCAACCUGGGAACGGCAUCCGGAACUGUCAAGCUAGAGUGCAGGAGAGGAAGGUAGAAUUCCCGGUGUAGCGGUGAAAUGCGUAGAGAUCGGGAGGAAUACCAGUGGCGAAGGCGGCCUUCUGGACUGACACUGACACUGAGGUGCGAAAGCGUGGGUAGCGAACAGGAUUAGAUACCCUUGUAGUC
rnacentral:rRNA from 1 species